CACGAUUCCGUAGCUGAACGAAAGAGGGACUGCAAUAGAAUUCGUCUGCUAGGCAGAGAAAAAACAUGGAACGUCUACUGCUUGACUUUUUAUUAGCAGAACAUGCAAAACAUGCUUGUCUGUCCAUCUCAGUGAUGAGAUGGCAAAUUUGUUGAGUAAAUCUGACUAAGGAAGCAAAUCUGAGAAGUGUUCCUAAAAGUAACUUGUCCCAGUGUGAUUUUCAUAGCAAUCCAUCAUUUUUUCCAAAGAUUUUUUUAUGAAGCUACAACAUAGAAGGUCGUGACCCAGUAAGCAUCAUACAGGGAGCUCCUAUGUAUGAAAGGAACUUUCUUCAGUAUUGAUACUGGGAUAAAUGACUUUGUUCUCAUCAACUUUCAGUUUAAAGAAACCAUUAACUCCUCAAAGACCACAAGUACACCUGUUACCACCACCCGGUUCCAAAUCGAUGAUUGCUUGGAUUCUAGAAAAAAACAAUGCUCGGUAAAGUAAAUUUUACAGUUGCCAACCACAAUAGUUCCGCACUGUAAUAAAAUCUCGGUCAGUGACUCGGUGUCGCCAACGUGAUACAAAGUUAUUCAACUCUUUACAUCAAACCUGUUGAGAAGGAUGCCCCAGGCUGGACACUAUUACUCCAAUUGAAAAUGAAUGGACACAGGUAACAAGUUUAGAGAGACUUUUAUCAGAUCACCUUGCAACCUCUUACUUUCAUUUGAAAGUAAUUCAAUUCAUUUAUAGCACUCAUGCAAGAUGCAACCACCAUUUAGACAUCUUAAAAACGUAUUUUAGGAUAUGCAAACUAUGGCACUUAAUUUUUAUAUAAUACUUCGCAAGUUUGUCGCAUGUGAAAAAGAAUAAAAAUGGAAUGUGAUGCCUAGGUAGCAUAAUGAGGUCAGAAGAUUGCCCAACAUCUAUGGAAAAAUGACUUGAUUGAUGAACCAGCUAUAUUUAGCAGGUUGGCUUUAUUGGAGAACUGUUAAACAUUUGAUAUUCAUAAUGUUCGCAAGGCUUUUAAGAAAAUAGUUUUCAUUGCACUGGCGACAAUUCGGAAUGGCGAGGUGCGAAUGAAUCGGAUUAAAAGUCAGCGUGGAAAUGCAAUAGUUCCGCAGCUGGCAAGAAAUGAGAGGACGAUUGGUGAUGAGACAAUUUAUUCUAAUCGCUGUAACUCAUGGACACGUCGACAUUCGUGGUAAUCAAACUUAGAACGUCUGCAAUGCGAAAUUUUUCACCAAUAUAAAGGAAAGCUGCAAACAUA